rnacentral:rRNA from 1 species
AGAGUUUGAUCCUGGCUCAGGGUGAACGCUGGCGGCGCGCUUAAUGCAUGCAAGUCGAACGUGCCUUUCGAGGCAAGUGGCAGACGGCUGAGUAACGCGUGAGUAACACACCCUUCGGUGGGGUAUAGCCUCGGGAAACUGAGGGUAAUCCCGCAUAUGAUCCUUUCCCCUUGGGGGAAGGAUGAAAGCCUUCGGGCGCCGAAGGAGUGGCUCGCGUCCUAUCAGGUAGUUGGUGAGGUAACGGCUCACCAAGCCUUCGACGGAUAGCCGGAGUGAGAGCUCGAUCGGCCAGAGGGGGACUGAGACACGGCCCCCACUCCUACGGGAGGCAGCAGCAGGGAAUCUUCCACAAUGGGCGAAAGCCUGAUGGAGCGACGCCGCGUGAGGGAUGAAGGCUUUAGGGUCGUAAACCUCUUUUCUCAGGGAAGAGCAAGGACGGUACCUGAGGAAUAAGUGACGGCUAACUACGUGCCAGCAGCCGCGGUAAUACGUAGGUCACAAACGUUGUCCGGAAUUAUUGGGCGUAAAGGGUCCGUAGGCGGUUCGGUAAGUCUCCUGUGAAAUCUUCAGGCUUAACUUGAAGAGGUCGGGGGAUACUGCUGGACUAGAGACAGACAGAGGCAAGUGGAAUUUCCGGUGUAGUGGUGAAAUGCGUAGAUAUCGGAAGGAACACCAAUGGCGAAAGCGGCUUGCUGGGUCUGUUCUGACGCUGAGGGACGAAAGCGUGGGUAGCAAACCGGAUUAGAUACCCGGGUAGUCCACGCCGUAAACGAUGAAUGCUAGGUU